AGUAAAGCUGAAGCUGAUUGGUGGACCGUAACGCGGCUCUCGCUGUUGGUCUGAGGAGAAAUAUUUCACAAGUGGCUCAUUAUACAUUAAUCGGUCUAACGUUGUAUAAAGUCAUACGCAACGUCUUUCAGAAUUGUCUGCAGACACAUGGAGGGAGACGCAUGAGCUGACACACACUCUUUUUAUGACUGACCGGACGCGACAUUUCAGCGCUGAAGAAGCAGAUCAGAGGCAGGAGAUGAAGGAAAGCGUGACAGAGGAACUCAGAGGAUGCUGCUGGAUCUCCCUUUGAUAACGCCGCGCACGUUUCUUCUCCUCGCACUAAUCGUGGCGCGGUCCAUUAAGGGCCCCGGGUAGAGCGCACGAACCCCUGCUAUUAAAGCCACAAUUUGCAGUGUCAGCUCCUAUGUGCCGAGCGUAAGUCAAACCCCCCCAGAACGCCUUCGGAGCAUCUUUGAGCCACAAUAACCAUCAUCAGUUAAAGCGGGCAGAUCCAUUACACGUGCUGCAGCCCUGCAUUACUAUAAUAUCAUCAAUUCCCAGAGUGCCGCGGCCCAUUCCACAGCCUAUCAAUUAUUAAUAAGCCACCUCACGGCUAAUGUUUGCCCUGAAUUAUUUAAAUGUAUCUUCAUGUAUCAAUAAACAUAAAUGUUAAACAAAGACUUGUGAUGAAGACACUGAAUAAGGCAAGUUUAUGGGAUGUGGCUGGGAAGGGCCUCGGUGACUAAUUGACACAAUAUGUCGUCGUAAAAGAAUAAGAGCGGCGCUUCCAGAGAAAGGCCACGGAGAACUUAUUUAGCCCGCCGAGGAUACGAAUGUCGGCCCGAUGGCCAUUUUUCUUGAAAGCCCACAAUAAGUGGUUUUAAUCAGUUUUGUGCCGCACGAAGCGAUGUAAAUUCACCGCCGGCUCUAACUGCACGGUGGCCCGUCGAUCCCCCCGUACGGAGACGGGAAAUGAAAGCGGCUGUGAGAGGCUGGACCUGUUGAGAGAGGUAAUGAACGGCAGCUCUGUUCGCUCCGUCCCGAACGACAGGACUAUCCCACGCCGGCGUUUGACGGAUGGCCAAAAACAUUGGAAAGUCACGCUCGCCCCGGUUCAAACACACUCCGGGCCGUUAUGAAUGACCCAUGCUCAGGCCUGCGGGCUCUUAUGAAGCUGUCGGGCGCUUCACUCACAGUCUGCUCCAUUUCCAGGCAGGAAUUAGGGAAUUCCCUCAUCUCAGAGACGGUCAAGGCCGGCAGACAGACAGACGGAGGAAAUGAUGGAGCGUCCCGUGACGCUGGAAUGAUGCUGGUAGUCGGAGUGCUGUGCAUUGACAGAGUUAUUUCUCAAUACCAGCGGCACCCACAGACCUGUGACAGUAAAAUCACUCCACGCGUUCCACUGCGCUUCAGCGCUAAACGACUUCUGCCAACUCGCUCACUUUCUCCUGAUUUGUGAAAAAAAAUCUGAAUUUGGAAAAACUUGAGGCAACCAGUUUUAGAGCUUUUUCGAGGAAAAAAAUAAUGUUGUGUCGACUUGAAAUGUAAAGCUAGACUAUUAUUAUAAUGACGUUAUACAUUAUAGUCAGUGGGUAACACAUUACACAUAACACAAGUUAUGUAAUCAGAUUACUUUUUUCAAGUAACUAGUAAAGUAACACAAAACUUUUUAAUUUACAAGAUAAUAGUUAGUCUUUCAAAUAAGUAACGCCAGUUGCUUUUUCCCAUGUGUUGACUGACAGCUCUUGUGUUGCCAUGUUGAGAGAAAUCAGGAGUAAGUGCAGAGGUGUUGUGUGUUCUGAACUAAAUGUCAACAUGCAUUUACUCAUAUCACUUGCACAAAAACAGAUUUGGUAUUCCUCAAAAUGAAUAUAAACAGUGAAAUAAAAACU